GGAUCUGAAGGUGAUCUGACCCAACAUCUAUCAACUCACUGGUUGCCAGGAUUCAUUUUGAUUGACCUGGAUGGUCAGGCAGUGUCCCCUUACUCCUUCACCACUCCCACUAGUAUUCCUUAGUAAAACAGAAAACAAAACAAAACAAAAAAAAAACACCUUUAGGGGAAAAAAUGGUAUCUAGUCAACUGUCUAUCAGUAGUUAUACUCCCAGUCAGAACCCCCAAACAAGAUCUCUAGGAAGAUACAUGAGCCAUGACAGUGGCACACACCUUUAAUUCUAGCACUAAGGAUGCAGCAGAGGCAGGCAGGUCUCUGUAG
rnacentral:snRNA from 1 species